rnacentral:tRNA from 1 species
GUUGUGGCUCAGUGGUAGAGCACUUGCCUAGCAUGCAUGAGGCACUGGGUUCAAACCCCAGCACAACA